AGGAACUCACUAGUACUAAUGGUGGAGGUUAUCAAUUAAUCAAUAAUGUGUGUGUAAGGCCUACUGCAUAAAGGAUAUUAACAUUCAUGUGAAGCAAGGGUGAAAAUCCGAAGCCAUCUUGAUUCAAUAUUUCAAACUUAGUUUGGUCACUCUGCAGAAUCUACAAUGGCAUCUUUCAGCAAGAUUUUAAAUUUACUCUGCUACCAUUGGACAAGAAAAAGCACAGAUAUAGACAACUCAAUCUUCAAUAUCAUACAGAAAAUUUCUGGUUUAUACACACCUGUAACGCGACAGAUUCUUGAACAGGUUUUGUAUAAUAAACUCUAGUUGACGCCUUAAUAUAAAUUACAGAAAAAAAAACUGAUUUCAAAACUGUAAAGCAUUUAGGUACUGCUGGAAUUUGAGGUAUGUGCAUCAGUAAGGCUUAAGACGAACGAUAUUAUGUGAAGGGGUAUGCAAUUUAUGCAUAGUUGAUGUAUUUAAUUAAAGAAAUCAUGGUUUGUA